rfam:Streptomyces ambofaciens ATCC 23877, complete genome.
CGCCCGGCCGGAUCCCGUGGGGGGAAUCCGCACCGGGACAUGGGAAGGCGCCCUGGUUCGUCGGC